CAGUAUUCUUCCUGUCAUGAGUAAAUUAGUUCGUAAAAGGGUUGAUGUUUCUAAUCUCUGUCCUGUAUGUGGUCAAGUGGAUGAUACUAUUGACCAUAUACUUUUAUCAUGUGACCAGUCCUCAUUAGUUUGGGUUGCUGCUGGAUUUGGAACUUGGGGGUUUCCUAUUUCUUCUGCUUGUUGGGUGGAGCUUCUCUUUAAUUCUCAUUCCGCGGAUUCUAUUUCACAAGCUUUUAUGCUCUUGGAGCAUUUGGAGAAAC
rnacentral:misc_RNA from 1 species